rnacentral:misc_RNA from 1 species
AUAAACCUAGUCGUUCGCGUACAUAGGGGCAACCCUCGCGUGAUGUCAGCAAUACCUAGGUAACCCUUGAAUAAACUACCCUUGUUGCUUUGGCGGGCCGCCGUCUCGGCCAGCGGCUUCGGCUGCUGCGCGCCCGCCAGAGGACCACAACUCUUGUUUUUAGUGAUGUCUGAGUACUAUAUAAUAGUUA